UAGGGAAUCUUCCACAAUGGACGCAAGUCUGAUGGAGCAACGCCGCGUGAGUGAAGAAGGUUUUCGGAUCGUAAAGCUCUGUUGUUGGUGAAGAAGGAUAGAGGCAGUAACUGGUCUUUAUUUGACGGUAAUCAACCAGAAAGUCACGGCUAACUACGUGCCAGCAGCCGCGGUAAUACGUAGGUGGCAAGCGUUGUCCGGAUUUAUUGGGCGUAAAGCGAGCGCAGGCGGAAUGAUAAGUCUGAUGUGAAAGCCCACGGCUCAACCGUGGAACUGCAUCGGAAAAUGUCAUUCUUGAGUGCAGAAGAGGAGAGUGGAAUUCCAUGUGUAGCGGUGGAAUGCGUAGAUAUAUGGAAGAACACCAGUGGCGAAGGCGGCUCUCUGGUCUGCAACUGACGCUGAGGCUCGAAAGCAUGGGUAGCGAACAAG
rnacentral:rRNA from 1 species